UGGUGGCCUAAUUGGUUAGAACAUCUGCCUCAGAUGCAGAAGGGCACAGGUUUGAACCCUGGCAUAUCAA